rnacentral:misc_RNA from 1 species
GAUGAAGAACGUAGCGAAAUGCGAUAAGUAAUGUGAAUUGCAGAAUUCAGUGAAUCAUCGAAUCUUUGAACGCACAUUGCGCCCGCCAGUAUUCUGGCGGGCAUGCCUGUUCGAGCGUCAUUUCAACCAUCAAGCCCCAGGCUUGUGUUGGGGACCUGCGGCUGCCGCAGGCCCUGAAAACCAGUGGCGGGCUCGCUGUCACACCGGGCGUAGUAGAUUUUAUCUCGCUCUGGGCGUGCUGCGGGUUCCGGCCGUUAAAAAACCCUUUUAACCCAAGGUUGACCUCGGAUCAGGUAGGAAUACCCGCUGAGCUUAAGCAUAUCAAUAAGCGGAGGA